AGUCGAAACUAUUAGACUAGAGUAUAGUAGGGGUAAAGGGAAUUUCCAGUGGAGCGGUGAAAUGCGUAGAUAUUGGAAAGAACACCGAUGGCGAAAGCACUUUACUGGGCUAUUACUAACACUCAGAGACGAAAGCUAGGGUAGCAAAUGGGAUUAGAUACCCCAGUAGUCCUAGCUGUAAACAAUGGAUACUAGAUGUUGAACAGAUCGACCUGUGCAGUAUUAAAGCUAACGCGUUAAGUAUCCCGCCUGGGAAGUAUGCUCGCAAGA
rnacentral:rRNA from 1 species